AUUGAACGCUGGCGGCAGGCUUAACACAUGCAAGUCGAGCGGGGUGAUGGUGCUUGCACUAUCACUUAGCGGCGGACGGGUGAGUAAUGCUUAGGAAUCUGCCUAUUAGUGGGGGACAACAUCUCGAAAGGGAUGCUAAUACCGCAUACGUCCUACGGGAGAAAGCAGGGGAUCACUUGUGACCUUGCGCUAAUAGAUGAGCCUAAGUCGGAUUAGGUAGUUGGUGGGGUAAAGGCCCACCAAGACGACGAUCUGUAGCGGGUCUGAGAGGAUGAUGCGCCAAACUGGGACUGCGACACGGCCCAGACUCCUACGGGAGGCAGCAGUGGGGAAUAUUGGACAAUGGGGGGAACCCUGAUCCAGCCAUGCCGCGUGUGUGAAGAAGGCCUUAUGGUUGUAAAGCACUUUAAGCGAGGAGGAGGCUCUUUUGGUUAAUACCCAAGAUGAGUGGACGUUACUCGCAGAAUAAGCACCGGCUAACUCUGUGCCAGCCGCCGCCGUAA
rnacentral:rRNA from 1 species